AGAGCCCUGCGAUGUGCGUGAACCACCGAUAGUUUUGAGCCAACACCAUUACAAAGGGAGCCUGAGGUCACCUGUGAGCGCGAAUGCCCGUGAGGGACUCGUUAACACGGGUGCAGGGCACCCACCUGCCGAGAGCAGGUUCAAAACUGAGGAGAGCCACGGCAUAACGGGGCUCUU
rnacentral:other from 1 species